UAUAGUUUAGUGGUAAA
rnacentral:tRNA from 2 species